UUCUUCCUGCUGCGGACAAAUGAAAUGAACAUGGACAUCAAGCGCACCCGCUGUGACAAUCUGACCUUCACCGGCAAUGAUUUCAGUUGCGGCACCAAUCACCAUAGUGACAUUGGGUUGAACAUCAGGGUUUCCGGCUUUACCAAUGGCGGCAAUUUUUCCAUUUUUCAAACCAAUAUCCGCUUUUACGAUACCCCAAUGAUCCACAAUAGUGGCAUUAGUGAUGACAGUAUCCAUGACAUCAGCAUGAUUGCGCUGUGACUGGCCCAUACCAUCACGAA
rnacentral:sRNA from 1 species